rnacentral:rRNA from 1 species
GAUUCAUGAUAACUAAACGAAUCGCAUGGCCUUGCGCCGGCGAUGGUUCAUUCAAAUUUCUGCCCUAUCAACUUUCGAUUGUAAGAUAGAGGCUUACAAUGGUCUUAACGGGUAACGGGGAAUUAGGGUUCUAUUCCGGAGAGGGAGCCUGAGAAACGGCUACCACAUCCAAGGAAGGCAGCAGGCGCGCAAAUUACCCAAUGCUAAUUCAGCGAGGUAGUGACAAUAAAUACUGAUACGGGGCUCUUUCGGGUCUCGUAAUUGGAAUGAGUACAAUCUAAAUCCCUUAACGAGGAACAAUUGGAGGGCAAGUCUGGUGCCAGCAGCCGCGGUAAUUCCAGCUCCAAUAGCGUAUAUUAAAGUUGUUGCCGUUAAAAAGCUCGUAGUUGAACCUUGGAUCUGGCUGAUCUGUCCUCCUAAUCGAGCGCACGGAUUCGGUCGGAUCUUUCCUUCUGGGGAACCCUAUGCCCUUCACUGGGUGUAGUGGGGAACCAGGACUUUUAC